UUUGCCAUGGCUGGGGUGUCUUGCUGCUUGUCCUGUUUCCUGGUCUUCGUGUCUACUUGGCUUGGUAGGAAACAGCUAUCUAUAUUCAUGUGAGAUCACUUAGCCUGGGGUACUGACGUGUUUUAGAAAGUUUAUAUACUAUUUGUCAGAUUACGUAAUACACAGCCAACCUUGGUAAACCUAAUGUUCCCUACCUUCUAAUAACUUGCUUAUUUUUCUUCUAAAAAUUCAACUUUAGGCCAAAGAACUCCAAACAAGCAGAAAGGGAAGAGAAGCGAGUCCUUGGUCUGGUGUUGCUUCGAGGGGAGAACCUGGUCUCCAUGACAGUAGAAGGACCUCCUCCCAAAGAUGUAAGUCCUUCCCGAGUACCUGUUGAAGGGAGGCCCUUAUGAGAGCCAGGCUCUGUCAGGUACUCUGGCUUUGCAUCCCUUUACAGAUAGUAAAUGAAAUCUUAAAACAGCUACCUUGCCAGUGAGUGGAGAGACAGCUAGAAUUUGUGACUUUAACGCCCAUGCCCAGAGGAAUCCUAAUCAAUAUGGCCUGAGGCCAUAUUGGUUACCCAGCAGUUCUGUAUAUGUAUGCAACAACAUUUAGUAAAAAGGGAGAGGAAAGGGAAAGGGGCAACUGUAAUUAUCUCAAAAAAAUUAACAGUCCUUCUGGGUACUUUGGUGCAAGCCUUCAGUCCCAGUAGAGGCAAGGGGAUCUAUGAUUUCAGGGCUACAUAGUAUAAGACCCUGUCUAAAACAAAAACAACAAUAAAACAGCUCCAAAUAAUAGAAUUUAUGAAUGCUUUAUUUGGUAGUUACAGAAUAUUAGCAUUUAUUAUUAUUUAUUACCUGUGCACCAGGGAUGUUAUACAGGCAGUGCUAUUCCAAAUUAAUGAUUUUAUUUAAUCAUUAUAAGAGGUUUUUAGUUUGCUUUUUGAAAAUUACCAUCUGGGAUUGGGGAUUUAGCUCAGUGGUAGAGCACUUGCCUAGCAAGUGCAAGGCCCUGAGUUUGGUCCUCAGCUCUAAAAAAAGACAAAAUAACAACAACAAAAACAAAACAAAAAACCACCUCAUCUUAUGGAUGAAAUGAACUGAGUUUUAGCUCACCCAAGAUGUCAUAGCUAGUAAAUGGUAAACCUGACAUUUGAUCCCAGAUGUUCUUGGUUCUAUAAACACCAAAUACAUUUAUAAAUAGAGCUCUUUUAAAAAGAACCUGGCCAAUUCGUUUUCUCUUUGAGACACUGCCAACCGGGAGAAUAUUUCUAGCCUGUAUUUAUGUGUGUGUGCAUCUGUUUUAAUUUUUGCCAUGCUUGGGUUUAACUCAGGGUGCCAUGUAUGCUGGGUAAGCACUCUGCCACAGAGUUGUAGCUUCAGCUCCUGUGUUUAUUUUUAUUCACACAUGGUUGGUGUGGAACACGUGAAAAAUUAUUGUCUUUCCCUUUAAUUUUUAUAAAUAUUUUCAGUUACCUUCCUGCUUUGCUUUACAUCUGCCGAUGACUUUGAGAUAGCCUCUCCAGUGAGUACAGAGUAGUUUAUCUCACUCAUUUUGGUAUUUUAAACUCUACAGUGCAGCUUUUCUCAUUGGUAAAUGUGUAUAAGAGGUAUUAUUUGGCCACUGUCACUUAUGUAUGUGUCUGUGGCCAGCUCAAGUUCUGUGUUUACAAAUAGAGUCUUGAGCUCUGACUCCGGCUUUUAUUCUCAUGGGAAUGAAUGCAGGUAUUGAGUGACAGGCUUCUCUAGAUUUAAGAUCUAGUUUUUUAAGGGUUGAUAGGUUUCUUGGUUUUGCAUGGAGGAGGAAUGAUGUUAAGGUUAUACAGUUAGUGCUGUUUAUAUGCCUUAUAGAUCUGAGAGGUUUAGGCAGUGCUAUUCCAAAGAUGUACUUAGAAUUCUUGAAGACACUGAGCAUUACAGCAUCUUUCUUUCUCUUUUUCAGACUGGCAUUGCCCGAGUGCCACUUGCUGGAGCUGCUGGGGGGCCAGGCAUCGGCAGGGCUGCUGGCAGAGGAAUCCCGGCUGGUGUUCCUAUGCCCCAGGCUCCUGCAGGACUUGCUGGGCCAGUCCGAGGUGUUGGAGGGCCAUCCCAACAGGUGAGGUAUUGGAGGAAGAUACUAGUUUCUGGUAGCCAAAAGGAUAAGGGCAAACCCACAGCUUGGGGAAGAGUCCAGAAUGACCAGUCUCGUGGAUGGCACGAUUAUCAGUUAUUGCUAUAUGAAGAGAUGUACAAAAGGUAUUCUGGUCAACUGAAAUUAGGAGAAUGUUCCCGUGACAUUUCUUUUUCCAUGUCACCAGUUUUAAUUAAAAGUACAAGUGCUUUUCCCAAGUUGGAUUGGGAAUCCUUAAUAUUAAUAUCAGGCCAAGAGACUGGACAUUGAGCACUCAGGCUUCCUGAUACAUAAGACUUGUACAUGGAAAGUAAUGGCAUGAGCUGUAGCUCUAGGACUUGAUGAUGCUCAGUGCAGUUUGGGAGAAGAGUAGGAAGCUGCACUGAAGAUUGCUUUCAUUCCUCUAUAUUUCCUUAGGUGAUGACCCCACAAGGAAGAGGCACUGUUGCAGCUGCUGCCGCUGCAGCCACAGCCAGUAUUGCAGGAGCCCCAACUCAGUACCCACCUGGUCGUGGGGGUCCUCCUCCACCUAUGGGCCGAGGAGCCCCUCCUCCAGGUGAGUAUCGUCAUCAAAGGACACUAGCACUAAUUAGUCACACAAUGCCUUAGCUGGAUUCAUGAUGAAAUAGAUCCUUGACUGAAGCUGAUGAUGCGUCUGUGUAAUUAAGCAGGAUUACUCUGAGAUCCAGCCUGGCUGACUGAACUGGGAACUAGCUGGACAAGAGCCAUUAGGAACUCCACUCUGGCUCAAGGGCCAUUUUGCUUGUGAGGCUGAGAGGAUGGACUAGACCUUCUGACUUGGUAGACAGCUUUGUAUGUUUCCUUCCAUCUUUUAGAAGGUCACCUGAGCUCUUCUCUUCCAGGUAUGAUGGGCCCACCUCCUGGCAUGCGGCCUCCCAUGGGUCCCCCAAUGGGGCUCCCUCCUGGCCGAGGAACUCCAAUGGGCAUGCCCCCUCCUGGCAUGCGGCCUCCUCCUCCAGGCAUGCGAGGUAAGUGCCUAAAACACUGAGUUUGGCUGCUUUUCCUAGAAUUUACUAGGGCAGGAACUGGAGGUUUGCUUUAGACCACAUCCAUUUUGGGGCCUCAAAUUCAGGGAAGUGAGCUCUUGGAGGAUAGCUAUGUCCUGAAAGUAUCGAGGAGAGGUAAGCAUUUAACUGGUUGGCUUUGUUUCCAGAACAGAGAUGUGUUCAUGGCUCACCCCAGAUGAAGGUGUCUGAGAUCACAGUAGAGACUGUCUGAUGCCCUUGACUAAUUUAGGAGUAUCUCUUUUGCUGGUCAUGGUGGCCUAUGCUUUUAAUUCCAAGACUCAGGAGGCAGAUAGAUCUCUGAUUUUGAGGUCAGCCAGGUUGUGAGACUUUCUCACCCCCUCCCCCC
rnacentral:lncRNA from 1 species